rnacentral:misc_RNA from 1 species
GAUGAAGAACGUAGCGAAAUGCGAUAAGUAGUGUGAAUUGCAGAAUUCAGUGAAUCAUCGAAUCUUUGAACGAACAUUGCGCCCUUUGGUAUUACUUAGGGCAUGCCUGUUCGAGCGUCAUUUAAACCUUCAAGCUCAGCUUGGUGUUGGGUGACUGUCCGCCGCCUCCGGGCGGUCGGACUCGCCUCAAAUUGAUUGGCGGCCGGUACUUUGGCUUCGAGCGCAGCAGAAACGCGAACUCGAGGCCGUCGUCCUGGCUCCCAGAAGCUAUCUUCACAAUUUUGACCUCGGAUCAGGUAGGGAGACCCGCUGAACUUAAGCAUAUCAAUAAGCGGAGGA